rnacentral:rRNA from 1 species
GAUGAACGCUGGCGGCGUGCCUAAUACAUGCAAGUCGAGCGAACGGACGAGAAGCUUGCUUCUCUGAUGUUAGCGGCGGACGGGUGAGUAACACGUGGAUAACCUACCUAUAAGACUGGGAUAACUUCGGGAAACCGGAGCUAAUACCGGAUGAUAUUUUGAACCGCAUGGUUCAAAAGUGAAAGACGGUCUUGCUGUCACUUAUAGAUGGAUCCGCGCUGCAUUAGCUAGUUGGUAAGGUAACGGCUUACCAAGGCAACGAUGCAUAGCCGACCUGAGAGGGUGAUCGGCCACACUGGAACUGAGACACGGUCCAGACUCCUACGGGAGGCAGCAGUAGGGAAUCUUCGGCAAUGGGCGAAAGCCUGACGGAGCAACGCCGCGUGAGUGAUGAAGGUCUUCGGAUCGUAAAGCUCUGUUAUUAGGGAAGAACAUAUGUGUAAGUAACUGUGCACGUCUUGACGGUACCUAAUCAGAAAGCCACGGCUAACUACGUG